UUAAAGACGAUGAAGAAGAGGAGUAUCUGUAAAAGCAGCCCCAAAGAGAGGAAGGGGUAGGUGAGAGCCUUCCGGGCGUGCGGCAGAGAAGGUAGCUUUGGAGUUUUCUGCUUGAACUGCGAAUCUGUAUGUCAUAAUGGCAGGUUGCAUAAGUAGGGUGGGACGCGGAAACGGCGUUAUGUAAAGGAGCUUAAAAUCUUUUGGAUUUUAAGGAAUUUAGGUGGUACCACGAAAGUAGGCACUUUCGUCCUUUAA
rnacentral:ncRNA from 1 species